CGCCGAUAAUGAUUAAUAGGGAUAGUCGGGGGCAUCAGUAUUCAAUUGUCAGAGGUGAAAUUCUUGGAUUUAUUCGAAGACUAACUACUGCGAAAGCAUUUGCCAAGGAUGUUUUCAUUAAUCAGUGAACGAAAGUUAGGGGAUCGAAGACGAUCAGAUACCGUCGUAGUCUUAACCAUAAACUAUGCCGACUAGGGAUCGGGCGAUGUUAUCUUUUUGACUCGCUCGGCACCUUACGAGAAAUCAAAGUUUUUGGGUUCUGGGGGGAGUAUGGUCGCAAGGCUGAAACUUAAAGAAAUUGACGGAAGGGCACCACCAGGAGUGGAGCCUGCGGCUUAAUUUGACUCAACACGGGGAAACUCACCAGGUCCAGACACAAUAAGGAUUGACAGAUUGAGAGCUCUUUCUUGAUUUUGUGGGUGGUGGUGCAUGGCCGUUCUUAGUUGGUGGAGUGAUUUGUCUGCUUAAUUGCGAUAACGAACGAGACCUUAACCUGCUAAGUAGCCCGUAUUGCUUUGGCAGUACGCUGGCUUCUUAGA
rnacentral:rRNA from 1 species